AACAAAUUGUGUUAUCACUGAAUUUACAGGAAAAUGAUAUAUUAUUUUAAGUGACAAUCUGAGAUGUCUGGUUGUCCAGAUGCCACUCUGACAACCCAAAAAGCCAAGUCUUACCAACGUGAAUGAUGGUCCCCUUGAACAUGGUGAUUUAAAUGAUCAACUGUCUGUGUAAACAUGAUUUUUUUUUUUUAAGUAAAGUCUUGCUGAAAAGAGAAAAGGAAUGAUUUGGGGUUGCCAGCUUAUCAUUUCUGAAAACCCAAUCAUUAGAUUGCCUUAAUAUCACAGUUAAUCACAAAUGUCCUUAGAAUCUAUUGAAAUGCUGAGAUUUGUGGAAUAUUCCGCAAGGGUGUACACAGCUUUAUCUUAUACUCAGACAGUUCCUUUAGAAACCACCCUUUUAAAACUGCCUAGCCCGCUAGAGCUAAAAAAUUUUGUAAAAGAAGUAUUUAAGGGUUUAGGGUUUUAUACAGCCAAUAACCUCAAGUACAUUGAAACAGGCAGUAAGAAGCUUAAACACACUCAUGAGGAGACAAAAAGAGACAUCAUUAGACAAGCGCUUAUAACUGCUGUCCCUUGAUUUCUCAUUUCAGGGCUUUUAUCAGUUCAUUUUCAACAGAAAGCAAAAGAAAUUUCCCUUUUAACAUGCUUAUUGAAAUAGAAAGGAUGUUUUCUUUCUUGCCGGUCCCAGAAAACCUAUUCUUUCACAAAGAAUCUGCUGGGAGAAGUUUUCAUUCUCUGUUUGGAGACGAUAAUUCUGGAAACAGAGCAGGAUAAACUCUGGACUUGCUAUGUGAUCACAGCACACAGUGUGCUAAUGCAGAGGUAGUAGCUGAAAACAGCCUUCAUCAUGGUGACCUUCCUGAAUAUUCCCUCUAUAGACACCUCCUAGACCACUGGCCCAAGAAUUACGAGUAGAGACAAGGGGCAAGAUGAAAGUGAAACACACCUCAAGCUGUCUUCUUUUUCCUUUAAAUCCUUAUAGAUAAAUCACAGUCAUUCUUACCCCAAUAUUAGUGAGUCAGAGAUUUCAAAAAAGAGUUCUCUAUAACUUAAAAGAGUAGAUUUAAUAAUAGGGGGAAGUUUCAUUUAUAUCUAAUGUAAAGAUACAUUCAUUUGCCCUCCUAUAUACUCAAAAAAACCUCAGCUAUUACUGACUAAUUAUCACUGCAAACCUGGCCGACAGCCCACAUUUCCUAUUUGAUUCUGUAGCAAGGUGGAUAAAUGUUCAGCUAAAAUAAAACCAGCCCCUGCAAUCUAAGUACUGGAUUAAGAACUCACUGUUGCCUACCCUGAGAGACCCUGGAGGAGGUGAGGGUUCUUAUUCUAGUUGAUUUUUUUGAUAAUAACAAUGAACCUCAUGGACUAUUUUCAGAAUACCUUUACAACAGUGAAGAACUGCAUUAAGAAAUGGCUAUUUCCAUGAAAAUUCAUAACCAAAAAAUCAGUUUGAGUAUCUCCUUUCAGACGGAUUCGAUAUAAGGUUUAUUUCUCUUUUUUGUUUGAUUUUGUUUUUUUCUUUUUUGUUUUCACAGCAGCAUGACUUAUUAAUAUGGGAAACUGGAAACUAUUCACAUAAUAGGGUAAUAGUUUUGUAAUUAAAAUCAGUAAGAUGGCAAAUAUGAAGACAGUGAAAUAAGUAUAUAUACAAUAAAAAUUGCUCUUUUUAAAAAAUGCUCAUUCAUUUACUUCCCGACAAACAAUAAAUGAGCACUUACUAUAUGCCAAAUAGAAGGUCUUUCAAAACUACUUGGAGAGAUGGAGAAAUACACCAACAAUUAAAACCCACUGAUGAGUGAUGCAACCAUGUAAAAUAAAUGGAGUGUGCUUUGGCCACUGAGAAGAAGGGCACGUAACCCUGGAGAAAGGUGGAACAUAUAUUACAGGCAAAGCUUCAAUGCCGAGAGAGAGCAGAUUUCAUCUAAGGACAGUCAACAGUCAGGUAUGGUUAGAAUGCGGUUUUAUGAAAUAGGCGGGGCAGAUGGUAGGCAGACCCCAAAGGAGAUUAGAAACUAUGCUGGGUGGACUGGAUGUGAACUCAAAAAACUGGAAAGCAGGAGAGUGACAUGAGCAGUUGUGUGUUUUACACAGAUUAUCUCAGACAGCCAUGGGACAGAUGGAUGAAUGGGAAAGAUCAAGUCAGAGGCAGAAAGUGGCCGGCAGCCCCUACCGUAGGAAUCCUCAUCUUUUCUUAAAUAAUGGGAAGGUAGCUUCAGCUCUUUCAUCCCAAUCCACUGUGCUCCCCAUGUGAGAAGCAGGAGGAACAGCUCUGAGCUGCUGGAGCUCAGCCUAUUUGGGGCUCUUCAGGGUCUGGGAUCUGUCUGAGGGUAGUGAGCACACAAGCAAGAAGCCAACCAGGGCAAAGUCUGCCCGUGCGUGUGUGCUGGGAGGGAUGGGCAAUGGGGGAACAUAGGGGGAACCCGGUACUCAUCCCCCAUGACUGGAUGGGUGACUGUCAGCUCUGCAGACCUAGUUUUGACUAAAAUAGGUCUCCAGGUACAGACUUGGAGGGCAAGGGGUGGGAAGCCCCAUUCCAGCCAUAACUCUAGGCUACAUUCUCCUAGUUUUGUCAGCAAUGCAACAGAUUUUUUCUUCCUUUUGUUUUAACCUCUAUCUGGCUUCUGUGUCUGGUUUGUAGUUGGUUCAAAAUGCAGAGAAAGGGGCGUGACUCAUCAACCCUCCCAAGAUUCCCCCACAAGGGCCCAAAUCAAACAAAUGUCAUUGGGGGAAGAAAGGAAGAAAUAUAUUCAAGAGAUACUGGAAGGUUGGAUUUUGUGAUCCACAGGAUCUGGUCUCAUCAGAAAAGGGUACGUUUUGUAUCCAGGUCCCUGUUCGACUUCUUUUGGUUCAUUAAUCAUUUGGCCAGCAAAUAUAUAAAGCACCAGCUGGGGAAACAGAGAACAAAAGACACAGUCCUUGUUCUUGAAAGACUCACCAUUUAGACAGGAAGCAGACCGGUAAAUAGCAGGACCACUGGGGCUCCAGCUUCCCUUUGUAAUCUAUUGAACCCAUAACAUGAAAUGCAAUCAAGAGCAUCCCACAGGCAGAGACACAAACAAAUGGACAUUUGCACAUCGAUGUUAUAGUAGCUUUAUCAUGAUUGCCAAGAGAUGGAAACAGCCCAAAUGUCCAUCAACGGACAAGUGGAUAAACAAGCUGUGGCAUAUACAUACUUUGGAAUAUUACACAGAGAAGAAAUGGAAAUGUCCUCGUAUAGAUUGUGGUGGUGGAUGCAUAACUGUGU